AUGUGUAUGAAGCUGCAUUGUGAUUGUGAUUUGCUUUUGCCGUUUUGUUAUAGCAGAUGGGAUGGUACCGUGCUGCUGGCAAAAGGACCACAGGGAAAAUGUAACCACUUUGUGCUCGAGUCCAGACGGCUGCUGAGAGGAAUUAUUGGCGUCCAUGUCUCGGAGUCGGAGGUUUCCUUUAUAUCAGCUACGGCGCCGGUGUCAUAUCCACAGGUCGGCACCCCGCUAGACCAUACCACCAUGAUGGGUGCGUUUGAUUGCAAGGGCGGUCAUGAAUGGGUUGGGAUCGUUCAGAAAAUAGAUAUGUUUGGUUAUAAAGCACAUGAAUGGUUCGAGCCAAAAAAAGAGAAUAUGCCAUGA
rnacentral:rRNA from 1 species